AACGAACGCUGGCGGCAGGCCUAACACAUGCAAGUCGAGCGGACCCUUCGGGGUUAGCGGCGGACGGGUGAGUAACGCGUGGGAAUAUGCCCUUCUCUACGGAAUAGUCCUGGGAAACUGGGGGUAAUACCGUAUACGCCCUUUGGGGGAAAGAUUUAUCGGGGAAGGAUUAGCCCGCGUUGGAUUAGGUAGUUGGUGGGGUAAUGGCCUACCAAGCCGACGAUCCAUAGCUUGUUUGAGAGGAUGAUCAGCCACACUGGGACUGAGACACGGCCCAGACUCCUACGGGAGGCAGCAGUGGGGAAUCUUAGACAAUGGGGGCAACCCUGAUCUAGCCAUGCCGCGUGAGUGAUGAAGGCCUUAGGGUUGUAAAGCUCUUUCAGCUGGGAAGAUAAUGACGGUACCAGCAGAAGAAGCCCCGGCUAACUCCGUG
rnacentral:rRNA from 1 species